CCUACGGGAGGCAGCAGUAGGGAAUAUUGCUCAAUGGGGGAAACCCUGAAGCAGCAACGCCGCGUGGAGGAUGAAGGUUUUCGGAUUGUAAACUCCUUUUGUUAGAGAAGAUAAUGACGGUAUCUAACGAAUAAGCACCGGCUACCUCCGUGCCAGCAGCCGCGGUAAUACGGAGGGUGCAAGCGUUACUCGGAAUCACUGGGCGUAAAGGGCGCGUAGGCGGGAUAGCAAGUCAGAUGUGAAAUCCUAUGGCUUAACCAUAGAACUGCAUUUGAAACUGUUAUUCUAGAGUAUGGUAGAGGUAGGUGGAAUUCUUGGUGUAGGGGUAAAAUCCGUAGAGAUCAAGAGGAAUACUCAUUGCGAAGGCGACCUGCUAGAACAUAACUGACGCUGAUGCGCGAAAGCGUGGGGAGCAAACAGGAUUAGAUACCCGUGUAGUC
rnacentral:rRNA from 1 species